rnacentral:pre_miRNA from 14 species
CAUGCGGUUGGAAGGGGGGCCGUUACACUGUAAGAGAGUGAGUAGCAGGUCUCACAGUGAACCGGUCUCUUUUCCUGCUGUGUC